rnacentral:rRNA from 1 species
UACGGAGGGUGCUAGCGUUGUUCGGAAUCACUGGGCGUAAAGGGCGCGUAGGCGGUCACGCACGUCCGUUGUGAAAUCGCUCGGCUCAACUGGGCGGGGUCAGCGGAUACGGCGUGGCUGGAGCAAGCUAGGGGGCAAUGGAAUUCCCGGUGUAGUGGUGGAAUGCGUAGAUAUCGGGAGGAACACCAGUGGCGAAGGCGGUUGCCUGGAGCUUUGCUGACGCUGAUGCGCGAAAGCGUGGGGAGCGAUCCGG